GGCGGCAGCUACACAUGCAGUCGAGCGGAACGAUCCUAGCUUGCUAGGAGGCGUCGAGCGGCGGACGGGUGAGUAACGCAUAGGAAUCUGCCCGGUAGUGGGGGAUAACCUGGGGAAACCCAGGCUAAUACCGCAUACGUCCUACGGGAGAAAGCAGGGGAUCUUCGGACCUUGCGCUAUCGGAUGAGCCUAUGUCGGAUUAGCUGGUUGGUGAGGUAAUGGCUCACCAAGGCGACGAUCCGUAGCUGGUCUGAGAGGAUGAUCAGCCACAUCGGGACUGAGACACGGCCCGAACUCCUACGGGAGGCAGCAGUGGGGAAUAUUGGACAAUGGGCGCAAGCCUGAUCCAGCCAUGCCGCGUGUGUGAAGAAGGCCUUCGGGUUGUAAAGCACUUUCAGUGGGGAAGAAAUCCUCGGGGCUAAUACCCUCGAGGGAGGACAUCACCCACAGAAGAAGCACCGGCUAACUCCGUGCCAGCAGCCGCGGUAAUACGGAGGGUGCGAGCGUUAAUCGGAAUUACUGGGCGUAAAGCGCGCGUAGGCGGCCUGAUAAGCCGGUUGUGAAAGCCCCGGGCUCAACCUGGGAACGGCAUCCGGAACUGUCAGGCUAGAGUGCAGGAGAGGAAGGUAGAAUUCCCGGUGUAGCGGUGAAAUGCGUAGAGAUCGGGAGGAAUACCAGUGGCGAAGGCGGCCUUCUGGACUGACACUGAUUUCUGAAGUGCCAAAAGCGUGGGCUAGCAAACAAGGAUUACAUACCCCGGGUAGUCCACCCCCGUAAACGAUGUCCAACUAACCCGUUGGGGCUCCUUGAAAACCUUUUGUGGCCCCACUUAACCCCGAUAAAGUCGACCGCCCUGGGGAAUUACCGCCCGCGAGGGUUUAAAAGCUC
rnacentral:rRNA from 1 species